CGAGCGCCUUUGAUCCCCACCAAACUGAGCUCUGUCACUGCUGCCCCACGUUGAGCAGUAAUAAUCAGCCUCGUCUUCGGCCUGGAGCCCAGUGAUGGUCAGGGUGUCUGUGCUGCCAGACGUGGAGCCGGAGAAUCGAUCAGGGACCCCGGAGGGUCGGUUGUUAUUAGCAUAGAUGAUGGUUUUGGGGGCCAUUCCUGGGAUUUGUUGGUACCAACCCACGUAACUACCAACUCCAGUGCAGGAGAUGGUGAUCCUCUGGCCCAGGGCCC